rnacentral:rRNA from 1 species
UACGUAGGGUGCAAGCGUUAAUCGGAAUUACUGGGCGUAAAGCGUGCGCAGGCGGUUGUGCAAGACAGAUGUGAAAUCCCCGGGCAUAACCUGGGAAUGGCAUUUGUGACUGCACGGCUAGAGUGUGUCAGAGGGGGGUAGAAUUCCACGUGUAGCAGUGAAAUGCGUAGAUAUGUGGAGGAAUACCGAUGGCGAAGGCAGCCCCCUGGGAUAACACUGACGCUCAUGCACGAAAGCGUGGGGAGCAAACAGG